rnacentral:rRNA from 1 species
UACGUAGGGGGCUAGCGUUGUCCGGAAUCAUUGGGCGUAAAGAGCGUGUAGGCGGCCCGGUAAGUCCGCUGUAAAAGUCAAAGGCUCAACCUCGAAUGCCGGUGGAUACUGUCGGGCUAGAGUGCGGAAGAGGCGAGUGGAAUUCCUGGUGUAGCGGUGAAAUGCGCAGAUAUCAGGAGGAACACCAAUUGCGAAGGCAGCUCGCUGGGACGUUACUGACGCUGAGACGCGAAAGCGUGGGGAGCAAACAGG